CGGCUCAGUAACACGUAGCUAACCUGGCCUUAGGUUGAGAAUAACCACGGGAAACUGUGGCUAAUACUUAAUAUGGGUAAAUUGUUGGAAGGCACUUACCUUGAAAUUUCGAGCCUAAGGGUGGGGCUGCGGCUGAUUAGCUUGUUGGUGGGGUAACUGCCUACCAAGGCGAUGAUCGGUAGGGGCUCUUAGCGGAGUGGCCCCGAGAAGGAAUCUGAGACACUAUUCCUAGCUCUACGGAGUGCAGCAGUCGCGAAUCUUUUACAAUGCACGCAAGUGUGAUGAAGCGAACCAAAGUGAUUUCCUUUUUGGAAAUCUUUUCUUCACUGUAAAAAGGUGGAGGAAUAAGGACUGGGCAAGACUGGUGCCAGCCGCCGCGGUAAUACCAGCAGUCCAAGUUGCAUCCAACUUUAUUGGGUCUAAAACAUCCGUAGCUUGCCAACUAAGUUUCUCGUGAAAUUCGAUGUCUCAAGCAUCGAGCAUGCGAGAAAUACUGGUUGGCUAGAGACCGGUAGACGUAAGGAGUACGGCCGAGGUAAUGGUAAAAUAUGUUAAUCUCGGUUGGACUAACAAUGAGCGAAGGCACCUUACGAGGACGGAUCUGACAGUGAGGGAUGAAGGCCAGGGGCGCAAAACGGAUUAGAUACCCGUGUAGUCCUGGCAGUAAACACUGCUCACUAAACAUUGGGGCCUCUUCGGGAGGUUUCAGUGCUGAAGCGAAGGCGAAGAGUGAGCUACCUGGGAAGUAUAGUUGCAAGAUCGAAACUUAAAGGAAUUGGCGGGGAGACAUACAACGAGUGACGCGUGCGGUUCAAUUAGAUUUUACACCGUGAACCUCACCAGGAGCGACAGCAGGAUGAAGGUCAGUCUAAAGGGCUUACCUGACACGCUGAGCGGAGAUGCAUGGCCGACGUCAGCCUGUGCUGUGAAGUGACCUGUUAAAUCAGGUAACAGGCGAGACCCGUAUCUAUAAUUACUACAGAAAUGGGUACAUUAUGGAGACUGCCUUGGUAACAAGGAGGAAGGUGCGGGCUACGUUAGGUGAGUACAUCCCUAAUCCCCUGGGCUACACGCGCGCGGCAAUGGUGGGCUCAAUGAGUUGCGACUCCGAAAGGAGAAGCUAAUCCCCUAACGCCCAUCUCAGUCCAGAUCGAGGGUUGCAACCCACCCUCGUGACGCUGGAAUUCGUAGUAAUCGUUCGUUAGCACCGAACGGUGAAUCUGUCCCUGUCUCUUGCACACACCGCCCGUCAAACCAACCGAGUUAUGUAGUGGUGAAGCUCGCAUGAGAAAAACUUUUGCACGACAAGGUAGGUUAAGUCGUAACAAGGUAG
rnacentral:rRNA from 1 species